UGACAGCCCAGCCCCGUGUGGCGGCAGGCACAGAGCACACCCAUGGGGAAGCGGCAGCACCCCACGGCACUGACCCCACGGUCUGCCGGCCCCCGGCGCUGCCCUGCCGAGCCCCACCUCAGGGCGGGCCGGGGGUGCUGCGGGCGGAGCGGGGCGGGCGGCGCCAUGAGGUGACAGCGGCGCUGCUGCAAAAUGGCGCAGGCGGGCGCUGAGGGGCCCCGCAGGGCCGGGGCACGGCGGGCGGGCGGGCGGCGCCACUCACCUGCCGCCACGGAAGAAGAGACCGGCCCCCUCCUAACUCACUACAACCUCCCGUCAUGGAGUAGAAUUAUUCUCCAGAAACAUCUAUUCGCCAUCCUGUUUUCUCAGGAGCUUUGCGGAUGCUCUCAGAGCAUCGCUUAUGCCCACACUUUACACCAAAAUUCACGGGGUAUUCCGGCACUGAACUGAAACCCGCCCCCCUUCUCCAAAGCCUUCAUGUGAUCUGCUUGCUCCCAGGUUUUCCCAUUCAUGGACAUCAUCAGGCUUUGCAGAAUGAGCAAAAAAAGCUUUUCUUGCUGUGAAAUGCACAGUCCCUUCUGCCUGCCUGCCUGCAUGCGUGGUGCUUUCAUGCUGAAUGGAGAUUGUACUGUGGAAAAUGCAGGUACAAAUAGAGAUUCAUGGAUAACCUGCAGUCCAUCGCUUGAUGCAUCUCCAGCUUUCCUUUUCAGCUUCCAGUACUGGCCAUGCACUAAGCGCAUGGCAGAAGAAUAAAUGCAGCUCAGUUAGACUCCCCUGGCUGUUUUCAAAUUAUAAAGUUGUUAUGCCUCUCCUUUCAUGUCUUAUUUUUUUAAGCAAAACACUUAGAUUUACCAAUUUUGUAGUUUUCGUCAAAAGUGAAACAAUUAUGCAACGGUAGGCUACAUUACUCUGGCUGCUUUAAUACUUCUAAUAAUUAUUUUCUAGGUUUGUGAGCAACACAGCUCACAGUUUGUGGUUGUUGUUUUCUCUUUGAUUUGUGAUCACUUUCCAUACAGAUGAGCCUGUGUAGAGCAAUUCAGGUGCCAUUUAAAUCAAAAUAUUUUGUCAAUGUAUUGGCCACAUUGAAGAAAAUCUGAAAUUUCUUGUAUCUUUUUCUUGUUUUUUGUCCUCCUUUGUACUACCGCUGCAUCACUAAGAAAGUUAAUUGUUUUGUAAUGUGGUAGUAAGAAUUUCAGCAGUCUAUCUAAAAGGAACAGAUCCAGCAAUUACAAAACUCAGUAAGAAGUAAAUGAGGCAGCACUUACAUAGCAGAAUGCUUACCGUCAAUUCUGAUAACGCAAGUGGCAAAAAAAAAUGCUUGGUGGGGCUGAAAAGUGUGGUUUUAAAAGUAUGUUUGCAAAGCUAUCAUAAAAAAUAGGCAAGGAAAUGUAUUUUAUUAGCUGACUUCAAAAAUAUUUGUGUAACUCUGUUUGCAUCACUGUAUAUGUCUACAUAUUUCUGUUUUUUUCAGAAUGAUCUCAAGGUCAUUCAGAGCUCCUGGGAACUUAAGCUAUAUUUUUCUAGUAAGUUAUUUCAGUCCUCCAAGUCCAAUUUAAGUAUAAACACAGUUUCCAUGCACAGCAGGUUUACAGUAUCUCUGUUUGCUUAUGUUAAAAGUUACCGGCUACCCAGGUUGGUUCAGCCAGUCAGAUUGCCCUCUUCAAUAAACAUUCUGACACCA